AAAACCUGCAGAAAUAAAUGUUGAAAAAAAAAAUCCAAAACUGUAUGGAGAAAUAUCUGACACUCUUCAUAUCUGGUCUGCAAACAAAAUGUUUUCAUGAGGUUUGUUGCUGAGAGAACAAGGCACAUUUCCACGGCAAAGAGGCAACUUUGAAAAGUUAACUGGGAGAGCAAACAACAGUUUGUCAGUGCACAGGUCAGGAUCCAGAGGAUAGCCUCUGAACUUUAUCAGAAGACUACAAAGAAAGAAGUAGAGAAAUUAAAACCUUUGUUUCUCCUUUACAACUUCAAUGCACAGCAUAAGCACUGGUUAGUUCACCUUCAGCAUGCAAAGAGUUGAUGAGGAACUGUCCCUCCUACUCUACCUAAUUUUGCUCAGCUGAUUCCUUGCCCUGGACAAUGGCUGCAGUGCGAUGAACUCGUCACUUAAAGCAACUCUGUUGGAGUACAUCUACAAUUGGACAGAGAAGGGAUGGAACAUACAUGUCAGCCCAUGCUAUCUGACCUCACAUCAAGGACGUGGAAGAAACCAACAUAAUCACUUUCAGAUGUGAAAAAGAUGCAGAAGCUGAAAUUCAGAACUUAAGAUGUGGUUGAGGAAUGGUGAAGACUACAAGAAAAACACAAGAAUCCUUUAAAGACUGGAAAAGAGCCUUUUUGGCAAAAGAUAUACGUCCAUCCUACUAUCCAUCAGUAAGAAAAUUACCUUGAUCAAACCUAAGCGUGAAUUAAACAAGCAACUGCUAAAAGAAGGUCUUUUCAGUUCAGCAGAAAAAGUGUAAGGAGCAAAAAUGCUGAGAUGUGAAACCAGGGACAGUAGCUAUAAGAUGAGUGGGUCAGGACGAGAUCUUUGUAACUGCCACUAAAGAGAACAAAAAGCCCUUUCAAACACAGAUGCCCUGUUUACCUAAGAGAGCCUAGUUACAAUGGGAUGGUUGCACAGGGGUUUGGCUGCCUUUGUCAGGCAAAAGGGAGGUUGUAUUCUCAGAGUGUAGCUUUAGACAUUUCAAAGACUUGAUGAAAAUGCCACAUGGGCAAUUAUCUUUCAUUACAUAAUCAAUAACCAAAUACACAGUGUGUGCCACAAUCAAGAUGGAAGAACUACUAACUAAAACGUGUCCUACUAAAGCAAUUUCAUAAUUUAGUGUUUUCAUCACAUUUUCAGAAC